UCGUAUGAUGCUUUGAAUACU
ensembl:piRNA 21ur-3216 ncRNA